AAGUCUAAAUGCAUCACCAAUAUACCAAAGUCUAUCUGCUCCUGCUUCUUUUAAUUCGUGUUUGAUUUUUAUUAAAUAUUGAGGAUUUAAUUUAGAUAUUUUUGAGUUAAAACCACAUACUCCAAUUUCUAAUCCUCGCAUUGCUUUUUGUAUUGAUUCUUGAAAUUGGAGUAUGUGGUUUUAACUCAAAAAUAUCUAAAUUAAAUCCUCAAUAUUUAAUAAAAAUCAAACACGAAUUAAAAGAAGCAGGAGCAGAUAGACUUUGGUAUAUUGGUGAUGCAUUUAGACUU
rnacentral:miRNA from 1 species